rnacentral:rRNA from 1 species
GGGGAAUAUUGCGCAAUGGGGGGAACCCUGACGCAGCCAUGCCGCGUGAAUGAAGAAGGCCUUAGGGUUGUAAAGUUCUUUCGGUAUUGAGGAAGGUUGAUGUGUUAAUAGCACAUCAAAUUGACGUUAAAUACAGAAGAAGCACCGGCUAACUCCGUGCCAGCAGCCGCGGUAAUACGGAGGGUGCGAGCGUUAAUCGGAAUAACUGGGCGUAAAGGGCACGCAGGCGGUUAUUUAAGUGAGGUGUGAAAGCCCUGGGCUUAACCUAGGAAUUGCAUUUCAGACUGGGUAACUAGAGUACUUUAGGGAGGGGUAGAAUUCCACGUGUAGCGGUGAAAUGCGUAGAGAUGUGGAGGAAUACCGAGGGCGAAGGCAGCCCCUUGGGAAUGUACUGACGCUCAUGUGCGAAAGCGUGGGGAGCAAACAGGAUUAGAUACCCUGGUAGUCCACGCUGUAAACGCUGUCGAUUUGGGGGUUGGGGUUUAACUCUGGCGCCCGUAGCUAACGUGAUAAAUCGACCGCCUGGGGAGUACGGCCGCAAGGUUA